CCUACGGGUGGCAGCAGUGGGGAAUAUUGGACAAUGGGGGCAACCCUGAUCCAGCCAUGCCGCGUGUGUGAAGAAGGCCCUCGGGUUGUAAAGCACUUUCAGUGAGGAAGAACGCCUGGUGGUUAAUACCCAUCAGGAAAGACAUCACUCACAGAAGAAGCACCGGCUAACUCCGUGCCAGCAGCCGCGGUAAUACAGAGGGUGCGAGCGUUAAUCGGAAUUACUGGGCGUAAAGCGCGCGUAGGUGGCUUGAUAAGCCGGUUGUGAAAGCCCCGGGCUCAACCUGGGAACGGCAUCCGGAACUGUCAAGCUAGAGUGCAGGAGAGGAAGGUAGAAUUCCCGGUGUAGCGGUGAAAUGCGUAGAGAUCGGGAGGAAUACCAGUGGCGAAGGCGGCCUUCUGGCCUGACACUGACACUGAGGUGCGAAAGCGUGGGUAGCAAACAGGAUUAGAUACCCUAGUAGUC
rnacentral:rRNA from 1 species